CUGGGUCAGGAUUCUAAGGCAGUUGGGGAACUAGCAACUGGCACUCUCAAUCUGGGAUGCAGACAACGAGGCUGUGUGGAAGUAUCUCCAUGAAGGAAACCAACUUUGGAGCUGUGGGAGACCUGGAUCAUCUUUAAGGAGAGGUUGAGUGAGUGUUCCCUUUCACAUCGGAGGACAGUCAAAGAAAAAUAAAAGAAAACGAUCAUUCAAGACCCAGAAGAAGAAAACAGAAUUCAGCAACUCUAUAGAUGAGGAAAUUGAGGCUACAAAAAAAGUAGAAGACAUUCAAGGGCCACUCACAGAGGACUACAUAAACAAAGGGUGUUCCCAAUAACGUGUUCUCAAUGGAGAAUUUUCAUUCACAAACUCUCUUCCUGACAACUCUCCCUGCCCCAUUCACUGCAAAGCAAAGAUAGAUGCCUGGGAAUAAAAACACCAAAGACUACUAGGUUGUUGGUUUU
rnacentral:lncRNA from 1 species